UUCCGGUUGAUCCCGCCGGAGGCCGCUGCUAUCCGGCUGGGACUAAGCCAUGCGAGCCAAGGGGCUUGUAUCCCUUCGGGGAUGCAAGCACCGGCGGACGGCUCAGUAACACGUGGACAACCUGCCCUCGGGUGGGGGAUAACCCCGGGAAACUGGGGCUAAUCCCCCAUAGGGGAUGGGUACUGGAAUGUCUCAUCUCCGAAAGCGCUUAGCGCCCGAGGAUGGGUCUGCGGCGGAUUAGGUUGUUGGUGGGGUAACGGCCCACCAAGCCGAAGAUCCGUACGGGCCAUGAGAGUGGGAGCCCGGAGAUGGACCCUGAGACACGGGUCCAGGCCCUACGGGGCGCAGCAGGCGCGAAACCUCCGCAAUGCGGGAAACCGCGACGGGGUCAGCCGGAGUGCUCGCGCAUCGCGCGGGCUGUCGGGGUGCCUAAAAAGCACCCCACAGCAAGGGCCGGGCAAGGCCGGUGGCAGCCGCCGCGGUAAUACCGGCGGCCCGAGUGGCGGCCACUUUUAUUGGGCCUAAAGCGUCCGUAGCCGGGCUGGUAAGUCCUCCGGGAAAUCUGGCGGCUUAACCGUCAGACUGCCGGAGGAUACUGCCAGCCUAGGGACCGGGAGAAGCCGGGGGUAUUCCCGGAGUAGGGGUGAAAUCCUGUAAUCCCGGGAGGACCACCUGUGGCCAAGCGCCCGGCUGGAACGGGUCCGAACGUGAGGGACGAAGCCAGGGGAGCAACCGGAUUAGAUACCCGGGUAGUCCUGGCUGUAAACGAUGCGGACUAGGUGUCACCGAAGCUACAACUCGGGGUGGUGGCGGAAGGAAGCCGUUAAGUCCGCGCCUGGGGAGUACGCCAGCUGAACUAAAGAAUGGCGGGACACUCACGGUGAGC
rnacentral:rRNA from 1 species